CUCCGCAGCCCCGAGGUCCGCUCGCUCGUCUUCGGGGCUGGCCGGCCUCGGCUCCGGUCGCCUCCUGUCCGCCCCCUGCAGGCCAGCUGGUGGGACCGCCCAAGGCACGGGUCGGGGACAGGGGCGCGCAGUCCAGAGAGCGCUGGCGGUUCCACCAACCCCAGGCCGGCCGGCCUCACAGCCGAGAAGCGGUGCUGAUCCGGGCUCCCUCCCGCCAUGGCGCGCGUGCUGAUCGUGGGCGCCGGGCUGACAGGAAGCUUGUGCGCUGCGCUACUGAGGAAGGAGACGUCCGGUCCCUUGCAGCUCGCAGUGUGGGACAAGGCUGGGGAUUCAGGUGGAAGAAUGAUUACCGUCAGCAGUCCUCAUAAUCCACAGUGCGCAGCUGACUUGGGUGCUCAGUACAUCACUUGCACUCCUCAUUAUGCCAAAAGACACCAGAGUUUUUACGAAGAACUGUUAGCUCACGGCAUUUUGAAGCCACUGACCUCUCCUAUUGAAGGAAUGGUGAUGAAAGAAGGAGACUGUAACUUUAUGGCACCUCAAGGAGUUUCUUCCAUUAUUAAGCAUUACUUGAAAGAAUCAGGUGCAGAAGUCUUCUUCAGACAUUGUGUGACCCAGAUCAACCUGAGAAAUGAAAAGUGGGAAGUCUCCAAAGAAACAGGUUCCCCUGAACAGUUUGAUCUUAUUGUCCUCACGAUGCCAGUUCCUCAGAUUCUGCAGCUUCAAGGUGACAUCACGAACUUAAUUAGUGAAUGCCAAAGGCAGCAACUGGAGUCUGUGAGCUACUCCUCUCGUUAUGCUUUGGGCCUCUUUUAUGAAGCUGGCACGAAGAUUGAUGUCCCUUGGGCUGGGCAGUACAUCACCAGUAAUCCCUGCAUACGCUUCAUCUCCAUUGAUAAUAAGAAGCGCAAUAUAGAGUCAUCGGAAAUCGGGCCUUCCCUCGUGAUUCACACUACUGUCCCAUUUGGUGUUACACACUUGGAAUACAGCAAUGAGGAUGUGCAAGAGUUAAUCUUCCAACAGCUGGAAAACAUUUUGCCAGGUUUGCCUCAGCCAGCUGCUAUGAUAUGCCAGAAAUGGAGAUAUUCACAGGUUACAAAUGCUGUCGCCAGCUGUCCUGGGCAAAUGACUCUUCAUCUCAAACCUUCCCUUGUGUGCGGAGGGGAUGGAUUUACUCAAUCCAACUUUGAUGGCUGUAUCACUUCUGCCCUGUGUGUAUUGGAAGCUUUAAAGAAUUAUAUUUAGUACCUAAAUUGAUCCCCAGACUUUCAAACAAGCUACCUGCUGCUAAUUUGAAAAGUGAAAUGAAAUGAAAUGGAUAUGGCAAUAUCUCCUGCUGGAAGCCAUCCCAGAGAACCAUGAAACUCAGAUGACCAGCAUGCUGUAGAAGACCAUAGGGCUAAGGUGUCAAACUCCCCUGGGAGAGAGGGGUCAGCACCAUCUGAAAUAGUUGCCAAGGUGUAGGUAUGCCAGCCCACAGGACCACACAUCAUUACAGUAUUUCCAAACAAGAACUUUUAUUAAUCAAGCCAGCCAAGGAAAGCUGCUCUGUUUUGAAAGGAGCAUAUUCAAGUGAGAAACGACUUGAGCCGUGGGGUGAUUUAAUACUUGUUAGCUGAUAAAUAUAGCCUUUGCCAGAAUAAAACUUUAUGAUGCAGUGUUGAAAAGCUUAAUUACUAAACUGUCUAUGCACGUCUUGCUCAGGCAGCAAGGGUGACAAAUUAUAGCGGUGGAAUAGUAUUUUUCACCUUUGGCAUUUCUGAAGGGGAAAAGUAUGUCUAAAAACAUCAAGAAAGCAGUAAUAAUGCCAGACCAGAUAUUACUGGGGAAAAAAAAGACACUUUAUUGAGUCAUCAGCCUUCUGUGCAAAAUGCCAUGUUCCCCACCCCCCGCCUACCCACUACCUUGUUAAGUGAAGAGAACGAGGUCAAUUUUACAUUUGUCUGGCAUUUUAUACUUAUCCAAGCAUGCGUGUAGAUGUACAUCCUCACUUUUCAUCCUCCUAACACCCCUUUAAAAUAAGCAGGACAAGGGAUAUUUACUUGCAUUUAACAAAUGAGGAAACUGAGGCACAGAGCUUAGCCAACCAAGGUCAUAUAACGAUAUGCCAGGACAAUAACUAGGCCUCCCAUGACCCAUUUCUAUUUAUGAGCACCAUGCUGCGGCCAGAUGAACAUGAUAAUUAAAGCUGAACUGAAAUAUUAGUUGGGGGUACAGUCAGCACCAUGCGGUCCUCUUAUGGAUGUUUCAUUUCCGAGAGCUAACACUCAU